GCUGACGGGAGCGCAACUGACGCUCAUGCUCGAAAGUGCGGGUAUCGAACAGGAUUAGAUACCCUGGUAGUCCGCACGGUAAACGAUGGAUGCCCGCUAUUUGUCCAUUAGGAUAAGUGGCCAAGUGAAAACGUUAAGCAUCCCACCUGGGGAGUACGCCGGCAACGGUGAAACUCAAAGGAAUUGACGGGGGCCCGCACAAGCGGAGGAACAUGUGGUUUAAUUCGAUGAUACGCGAGGAACCUUACCCGGGCUUGAAUUGUGAGAGAAGGAUCCAGAGAUGGUGACGCCCUUCGGGGCUCUCAUGAAGGUGCUGCAUGGUUGUCGUCAGCUCGUGCCGUGAGGUGUCGGCUUAAGUGCCAUAACGAGCGCAACCCCUCUCUUCAGUUGCCAUCAGGUUAAGCUGGGCACUCUGGAGACACUGCCACCGUAAGGUGUGAGGAAGGUGGGGAUGACGUCAAAUCAGCACGGCCUUUACGUCCGGGGCUACACACGUGUUACAAUGGGUGGUACAGAGAGUUGGGUGCCCGCAAGGUCACUCUAAUCAAUAAAUCCAUCCUCAGUUCGGACUGGGGUCUGCAACCCGACCCCACGAAGCUGG
rnacentral:rRNA from 1 species